rnacentral:rRNA from 1 species
GAUGAACGCUGGCGGCAGGCUUAAUACAUGCAAGUCGAACGGUAACAUGUCGGAGCAAUCUGAUGAUGACGAGUGGCGCACGGGUGCGUAACGCGUAUGCAACCUACCUUUAAUUGGAACAUAACGUUGAGAAAUUGGCGCUAAUAUUCCAUGUGAAUAUGAUGUGGCAUCAUAUUAUAUUUAAAGAUUUAUUGAUUAAGGAUGGGCAUGCGUAUCAUUAGCUAGUUGGUGAGGUAACGGCUUACCAAGGCGACGAUGAUUAGGGGUUCUGAGAGGAAGGUCCCCCACACUGGAACUGAGACACGGUCCAGACUCCUACGGGAGGCAGCAGUAGGGAAUAUUGGGCAAUGGAAGCAAUUCUGACCCAGCCAUGCCGCGUGCAGGAAUAAGGUCCUAUGGAUUUUAAACUGCUUUUAUUAUAGAGUAACCGGAGGUACGUGUACCUCCCUGCAAGUAUAUGAUGAAUAAGGACCGGCUAACUCCGUGCCAGCAGCCGCAGUAACAC